GGAUGGUGGCGAUGGCUGCACAACAAUGUGAAUGGACUUAAUGCCACCCAACUAUACACUUAAAAAUGAUUAAGAUGGUAAGUUUUAUGUUAUGUAGACUUUACCACAAUAAAAAAUAGACUAUAGAUUAUAAUUAUAGAAUACAAUCCAUUGAAUAAAAUUGGAAUCAACGAGUCCAUACUGACAAUAAAUAGAAAAUAAGUAAAGAGGGGAGAUGGGAGGGCUCUUCCUUAUAUUAAAACGUUAACUAAUAAUGUGGAGGAAGAAGUCGAGUUGAAAAAUGAUCAUUUUAUAGCAAUCACAGUAAAGAUUGAUUUGGCAAGUAUCGUCAACUGAUGCUGAAUUGAGGGAGGAAAGUUUGGUGAGGAACGUGACAUUGGCAUGGUCUUAAAGUGUUUCCCCCCAGCUUGUUUAAUGCAAGGGGAAAAACAGGAACUAAUCAAUGGAGAAAGCAGACACGACACUGACUAGGUGACCCAUAUGAACACCACCAAGGAGACUUGGUCAGAUAUCCCGUGCCUCCAUGUGUGCUGCCCUUAAAAGGAUAAAACACUUACAGAAUAUCCCGGUUAGGGAUGCAUUACUUGAACUUAACCAUGAGGGAAUGUCAGACAAAGCUACAUUCAGAGACUUUCUAUAAAAUGACAAUGUCAUGAAGGCUGAAGAACUGUUCCAGACUAACGGAGGCCAAAGGGACCUGAUAACUAGAUGCAAUUCCUGAUCCUGGACUGGACUUGGUACCAGAGGGGAAAAACCUACCAGGACACUGAGACAAUUGGCAACAUUGGAAUACGGACUGUUGAUUAGGAGAUUAGCCCUGAGCUAACAUCUGCUGCCAGUCCUCCUCUUUUUGCUGAGGAAGACCGGCCCUGAGUCAACAUCCCCGCAACUCUUCCUCUACUUUAUAUGUGGGACACCUACCAUAGCAUGGCGUGCCAAGCGGUGCCGUGCCCGCACCCAGGAUCUGAACCAGCGAACCCCAGGCUGCCAAAGUGGAACAUGAAAACUUAACCACUGCACCAUUGGGCUGGCCCCUUAAGUUAUUUUUGUUGAGUUCAGUAUUUGUAAGAAUUUUACUAAAAUUUUAAAAUAAUCUUUCCCCAACAUGACAAAAAUCCUCCAAAAUGUUCACAUAUAGAAGUAUUUGAGUUUAGAAACCUACAAAUCUAAUCAUAAUUAUUAUCUGUGCUACAUACAUGCAUUAGGUAUUGACUCUAAAAUAACGAGUAAUAUUAAGCACUUCUUACCUUAUCCCAAAAUAUUUUUUUCAUGGCACCUGCUAACAUUAAAAAAAAAUCUUGUGUAUUUCAUCCCUUGAGUAACGUGUAAUAGUUUUUUGGUGCUGAUAUUUGAUUUCUGUAUAAAUGUUCUUCCACGAUGUUACUGAAUUUUGCCAAAUGAAUAAUAUUCUGAUUUCCACACUCUUAAAAUUGGGUGUCUGAAUGCUAGCUAUUGCCUCACCAAAACAGAAUCAUUUAUAUAAUGUUUUUAACAAGAGCACACCAAUAUCUUUUCCCAUUUUAUAUAGUCUCUCUUCUGCAGCACCACCUUUCGGGGUGUCCCAUAUAUCUCGGUUGCUCUUUUCUGUGUUUUCUCUCCUUUUUUUGCCUGUACUUUAAUCUCAAUACUUUCUGCUGCCUGUCUUCCAGUUCAUUAAACCUCUGUUCUGCUGUUUCCAAUCUGCUAUUAAUCCCAUCAAAUGAAUUCUUUUUUAAUAACAACUUGAUUGAAGUACUAUACAUACAAUAAACUGUACCUAUUCAAAGUGUAAAAUUUGAUGAGUUUAGACAUAUGUAUACAUCCAUGAAAACACCACCAUAAUCAAGACUCAGAUCGUUCUCAUCACCCUCAAAAGUUUCUUUGUGCCUCUUUACCUCUCGUUUUUCUCUCCACAUCUGGUCCCAGGCAACCACUGAUCUGCUGUCAUUAUAGAUUAGUUUGCAUUUUCUUGAAUUUUAUAUGGAAUUAUACAGUACGUAUUCUUUUGUUUUUGGCUUCUUUCUCUCAGUAUAAUGAUUUUGAGAUUUGUCUACAUUGUUUAGUGUGUUGGUGAUUCAUCCCUUUUAAUUGCUGGGUAGUAUUCCAUUUCACGGAUUUAAUGCAUUUUUGUUCAUCCAUUCACCUGUUGAUGGGUAUUUGGGUUGUUUCCAGCUUUUUGAUACUGUGAAUAAAGCUGCUAUAAAUAUUCUUUUCCAAGUCUUGGUGUGGACAUAUGUUUUCAUUUCUCUUAGGUAAAUACUUAUGUGAUAGUUUUUUUUUAGGUGUUAACUUUUUGAAGUGAAUAACUUGUCCUCAGUUAUUCUACACUAUUCAACACUAAUCUAAGUGCUGCUAUGAAGGCAUUUUUUGUAGAUAUGAUUAAAGUCCAUAAUUGGUUGACUUUAAGUAAGGGAUAUUAUCCUGGAUAAUCUGGUUGGGCCUGAUUUAACCAGUGAAAAGUCCUGAAAAGCAGAGUUCAGGUUCUCCCGAAGAAGAACUUCUGCCUUGGGACAGCAGCUUCAGCCCUUGCCUGAGUCUCAACCUGAUCUUCCUGAUAGCCCGUCCUAUGGAUUUCAGAUUUGCUUAACCAGUCCUCCUCCCCAC
rnacentral:lncRNA from 1 species